rnacentral:rRNA from 1 species
GCCGUAAAACGAUGAGAACUAGGUGUAGCGGGUAUUGACCCCUGCUGUGCCGAAGUUAACGCAUUAAGUUCUCCGCCUGGGGAGUACGGCCGCAAGGCUAAAACUCAAAGGAAUUGACGGGGACCCGCACAAGCGGUGGAGCAUGUGGUUUAAUUCGACGCAACGCGAAGAACCUUACCUGGAUUUGACAUCCUCUGAUUUCCAUAGAAAUAUGGCUUUUUAUGCUUGCAUAAACAGAGUGACAGGUGCUGCAUGGCUGUCGUCAGCUCGUGUCGUGAGAUGUUGGGUUAAGUCCCGCAACGAGCGCAACCCUUGUUUUUAGUUGCCAUUAUUAAGUUAGGCACUCUAAAAAUACUGCCUCGGUUAACGGGGAGGAAGGUGGGGAUGACGUCAAGUCCUCAUGGCCUUUAUAUCCAGGGCUACACACGUGCUACAAUGGGCUGUACAAAGAGUUGCCACUUCGCGAGAAGGAGCUAAUCUCAAAAAGCAAUUCUCAGUUCGGAUUGGAGUCUGCAACUCGACUCCAUGAAGUUGGAAUCGCUAGUAAUCGUGGAUCAGCAUGCCACGGUGAAUACGUUCCCGGGUCUUGUACACACCGCCCGUCACACCUCGAAAGUCGGCUGUACCAGGAGUUGCUGGGCUAACCCUUCGGGGAUGCAGGUACCUAA